UACGUAGGUGGCGAGCGUUGUCCGGAUUUACUGGGCGUAAAGGGCGUGCAGGCGGUUUGUUAAGUGCAGGGUGAAAGCUCCCGGCUCAACUGGGAGAGGUCCUUGCAUACUGGCGAACUCGAGGGAGGCAGAGGAAAGUGGAAUUCCCGGUGUAGUGGUGAUAUGCGUAGAUAUCCGAAAGAACACCGGUGGCGAAGGCGGCUCGCUGGGCUCUUGCUGACACUGAUGCGCGACAGCGUGGGGAGCAAACAGG
rnacentral:rRNA from 1 species